rnacentral:rRNA from 1 species
GACGAACGCUGGCGGCGUGCCUAAUACAUGCAAGUUGAGCGAUGAAGAUUGGUGCUUGCCCCAAUUUGAAGAGCAGCGAACGGGUGAGUAACGCGUGGGGAAUCUGCCUUUGAGCGGGGGACAACAUUUGGAAACGAAUGCUAAUACCGCAUAACAACUUUAAACAUAAGUUUUAAGUUUGAAAGAUGCAAUUGCAUCACUCAAAGAUGAUCCCGCGUUGUAUUAGCUAGUUGGUGAGGUAAAGGCUCACCAAGGCGAUGAUACAUAGCCGACCUGAGAGGGUAAUCGGCCACAUUGGGACUGAGACACGGCCCAAACUCCUACGGGAGGCAGCAGUAGGGAAUCUUCGGCAAUGGACGAAAGUCUGACCGAGCAACGCCGCGUGAGUGAAGAAGGUUUUCGGAUCGUAAAACUCUGUUGGUAGAGAAGAACGUUGGUGAGAGUGGAAAGCUCAUCAAGUGACGGUAACUACCCAGAAAGGGACGGCUAACUACGUG